CCUACGGGGGGCAGCAGUGAGGAAUAUUGGUCAAUGGACGAGAGUCUGAACCAGCCAAGUAGCGUGAAGGAUGACUGCCCUAUGGGUUGUAAACUUCUUUUAUAUGGGAAUAAAAUGUUCCACGUGUGGGAUUUUGUAUGUACCAUAUGAAUAAGGAUCGGCUAACUCCGUGCCAGCAGCCGCGGUAAUACGGAGGAUCCGAGCGUUAUCUGGAUUUAUUGGGUUUAAAGGGAGCGUAGGUGGAUUGUUAAGUCAGUUGUGAAAGUUUGCGGCUCAACCGUAAAAUUGCAGUUGAAACUGGCAGUCUUGAGUACAGUAGAGGUGGGCGGAAUUCGUGGUGUAGCGGUGAAAUGCUUAGAUAUCACGAAGAACUCCGAUUGCGAAGGCAGUUCACUGGACUGCAACUGACACUGAGGCUCGAAAGUGUGGGUAUCAAACAGGAUUAGAUACCCCUGUAGUC
rnacentral:rRNA from 1 species